GUUGAUGUGAAUGCAUGCAUCUUAGGUCACAUUUUCCUACAGGCAAAACCCAAGUUAUUAUUGCUGUUGUUGAAGUCAUUGUUGUUGAAUAGGACUGAGAGAAAUUAAGAGACGAGGGGAAGAGAAAAAGAGCAGACACCUACAGACUUGUUUCACCGCUUGUGAGCUUGUGAAGUGGCCCACCUGUAGGUGCAGAGCUGGAGGCUCAAACUGGAAUCCUUAUGGGUUCUUGUGCUCUGCGCCACGUGCGCUUAACCCACUAUGCUACUGCCCAACUCCUGGUAAGAUGUCUAUUACUGGCUAUUCAUUUGAUCAUCCUUUUAAAUGCAUGAGCAACUAGUGUUUUUCACGAUUUCAUCUACAUAUCCAUGUGACUAUCACAGAAUGAAAAUGAGACAGCACACUGCAGCAGCCAUUAGCAGAAUACACAGACGUCCCUCAAGGCAAACAUCUCAAGCAAAUGGACUGCAAAGGAAGGAGCGCUAAUUUCUAUUUAUUUAGGAUUUGUAAACCUAGCAGAGCAAGAUAUUAACAAAGGAACAAACAAAGAAAGCUUU